UGCGCGGAGAUUUCUGAUGGUUGGCGUCAGUUUAGUAGGAUUAACUCGCUUCCCUGCUUCGGCUGCAUUUUCUUUGCAUGUCAUUUCUACCCUUACCUAAUGUUACAUAUUUACGUAUAACUGUACGUCCUGGUUUAGGGAGCUUGCUAUCAUCUCAGAAAUAGUACAGAUGCAUAAACUUCCAUCACUCAAUGGCUCUGAUGGUUAAUAGAGUUCUCCUGAUAGCAAACAGAGGGACAUAAAAAUAUAAUAAUUUUGUAAUUUUUCUUAUUUUUAGUCUGAGCACUGUUACGAUCUAUCUCUAGCGAGAUAAUCGGUUGGGAAUCGAGUUAUCGUGCCU
rnacentral:lncRNA from 1 species